CGACAAGCCCAUGACCCAGAGGGCCCUGUUGGUGCUGAUGGUGGUGAGCGCCGCGGUGCUGGUGUAUUUUGUGAUCAGAACCAUUAGGCCAAUCUCAAUCUCAAGAACUAUCAUUUUAUGAGAUAAACAACAAGGGUGAAAAUAUCCAAUUCUCAGAAUCAUCAAUCAAACAGAAAUGCAGAAGGCAGCCAGGGAACUCAGGUGCACUUGGAAUGAGAAGAAGAAAUAGAAAGACACGAAGAUAUGGAGUUUUGGACACAAAUCUAGAAAAUAUGGAAUUAACACCUUUAGAACAAGAUGAUGAUGACGACGAUACAACUCUGUUUGAUGCCAAUCAUCCCCGAAGAUAAGAAUGUGCCUUUUAAUGAGAAAACUUCAUUGGUGAACAUCAAAGGAAGAAGUUUAUGAUUAAGGAAUAAGAAGCCAAUAUCAGUCACAGCAUGGGGGGUAUUUAAGUUAUGUAUAUUAUGACCUUUAAUUUGUUGUUGAAAUAUAUACUGUAUCAGUUGUUGCAUCUUUGUACAUAUAGGAAUGUUCUAUUAAUGAGCUCAAAUCUGAAGAAAAAGAAAUGCAGUAUAAUAGAAAUCUAUUUGAAAAUUACCAUUAAAAUAGGGUGUUUUCAGUUUUGUUUUUUUUACUGCUUACCAUAAUGUGGUGAACAAUAUUCUGUUUAUGUGCUAAUCAGCUAAUAUUAAUUGUUUUGCUGGCAUAAUGUUUUAAGUAAUUAUCAAUUGUAAUUACCCACUGAAGUACAAAUUCUCUUAAUAUUAUUUAAUUUUUUUUCUCCAACAAAAUGUAUUUCCCAUUUUUGGGGGGAAAUGCCAGGUGUAUUGCUUUGUUUUUGAGUAUUUUUUAACUACAUAACUAUAUGAGCUAUUGUAUACAAAGCAAUAAAUGUGAUUUUAAAUUGUUUUAAGUGUUCUUAAAGAAAUACGAAAGACAGUGUCAUUUGAAGAUAAAAGCUUAUUUCCAAAAUA